UGGGGAAUAUUGGACAAUGGAGGGAACUCUGAUCCAGCAAUCCUGUGUGAGUGAUGAAGGUUUUAGGACUGUAAAACACUUUUAGCAGGGAAGAAAAAAAUGACGGUACCUACAGAAGAAGCAACGGCUAAAUACGUGCCAGCAGCCGCGGUAAUACGUAUGUUGCGAGCGUUAUCCGGAAUUAUUGGGCUUAAAGGGCAUCUAGGCGGUAAGACAAGUUGAAGGUGAAAACCUGUGGCUCAACCAUAGGCUUGCCUACAAAACUGUUGAACUAGAGUACUGGAAAGGUGGGUGGAACUACACGAGUAGAGGUGAAAUUCGUAGAUAUGUGUAGGAAUGACGAUGAUGAAGAUAACUCACUGGACAGAAACUGACGCUGAAGUGCGAAAGCUAGGGGAGCAAACAGG
rnacentral:rRNA from 1 species